rnacentral:rRNA from 1 species
CUUGGUCAUUUAGAGGAAGUAAAAGUCGUAACAAGGUCUCCGUAGGUGAACCUGCGGAGGGAUCAUUACAGAGAAAGGGCCUUCGGGUCCGACCUCCAACCCUUUGUUAGCAAAACCAUGUUGCCUCGGGGGUGACCCUGCCUUCGGGCUCGCGUCCCCCCGGUGGACCACUAAACACUGCAUCUAUUGCGUCAGAGUAGAUUUUUAAUAAAUCAAAACUUUCAACAACGGAUCUCUUGGUUCUGGCAUCGAUGAAGAACGCAGCGAAAUGCGAUAAGUAAUGUGAAUUGCAGAAUUCAGUGAAUCAUCGAAUCUUUGAACGCACAUUGCGCCCCUCGGUAUUCCUUGGGGCACACCUGUUCGAGCGUCAUCACACCACUCAAGCCUCGCUUGGUAUUGGGCGAAGCGGCAUCGCCGCCCGCCUCAAAAGCUCCGGCCGAGCAGUCAGUCUCUUAGCGUUGUGCAAACUAUUCGCUUCUGAGGCCUGGCAGCGCGCGCCGUUAAACCUCUUCUAACAGGUUGACCUCGGAUCAGGUGGGGAUACCCGCUGAACUUAAGCAUAUCAAUAAGCGGAGGA